GACGCAGGGCGCGAGCGUUGUCCGGAUUUAUUGGGCGUAAAGAGCUCGUAGGCGGCUUGUCGCGUCGUCCGUGAAAACCUGCAGCUCAACUGCAGGCUUGCGGUCGAUACGGGCAGGCUAGAGUUCGGUAGGGGAGACUGGAAUUCCUGGUGUAGCGGUGAAAUGCGCAGAUAUCAGGAGGAACACCGGUGGCGAAGGCGGCAUCCUGGACCAUUACUGACGCUGAGGCGCGAAAGCUAGGGGAGCAAACGGG
rnacentral:rRNA from 1 species